UAGGGAAUCUUCCACAAUGGACGCAAGUCUGAUGGAGCAACGCCGCGUGAGUGAAGAAGGUUUUCGGACCGUAAAGCUCUGUUGUUGGUGAAGAAGGAUAGAGGUAGUAACUGGCCUUUAUUUGACGGUAAUCAACCAGAAAGUCACGGCUAACUACGUGCCAGCAGCCGCGGUAAUACGUAGGUGGCAAGCGUUGUCCGGAUUUAUUGGGCGUAAAGCGAGCGCAGGCGGAAGAAUAAGUCUGAUGUGAAAGCCCUCGGCUUAACCGAGGAAUUGCAUCGGAAACUGUUUUCUUGAGUGCAGAAGAGGAGAGUAGAACUCCAUGUGUAGCGGUGGAAUGCGUAGAUAUAUGGAAGAAUACCAGUGGCGAAGGCGGCUCUCUGGUCUGCAACUGACGCUGAGGCUCGAAAGCAUGGGUAGCGAACAGGAUUAGAUACCCUGGUAGUCCAUGCCGUAAACGAUGAGUGCUAAGUGUUGGGAGGCUUCCGCCUCUCAGUGCUGCAGCUAACGCAUUAAGCACUCCGCCUGGGGAGUACGACCGCAAGGUUGAA
rnacentral:rRNA from 1 species